GUUCAAAAUCUGCUUAACCUAUAUCGUAUGAACUGUCAAAUGAAUAUAAAAUAUUUAAAUGGAAUUUUUCUCUACCACUUAUUUAUAGUGUUGUGAAUUUCAAAAUAAGAAUGGAAUAUAAGAUAAAGCAAGGUUUAUUGGUGUCAUUUAUCGUUAUGGUUACCUAGCUUCUUAGCUAGGUCACGUUUCAUAAAAUCGAUAAGAAUUGUAAUACAUAAAUACUCUAACUCAUCUAUAUCGAUUUCAAAUGGAGCCCAGAAGAAAAUUCACACUUCAAGAUAUUCACAAAUUCAGUUUAGGUAGUUUUUAUUGCCUGGUAAAUCCACGCUGCAACGAAGAGUUUCAAACAUUCCUAAAGAAUACCAGAAGAACCUCCCAUAUGCCUACAUUACAAUUAUUCAAUAAAGCCAGGAAUUCAAAUGAGUAUAAAGAAGAGGAAUUCAAUGAUUUGUUAGAUGGGGUUGAUGAGUUUAAUGUUCACGAAUUGUAUAAACAAAGUACUGAUGAACAGAAGUUAAAGAAUAUUGCUGUGCAGUGUAGUACUAUAUUAGACAAGAAUGUUUAUAAUCCAUUCAUUACAUUCUUGAAAAACAUGAGGCAGUGAUCCAAAAAAGAAAUAGUUUUGGACUGUGGUGUUUAGUGCAAUAUCUUUUAUGGAACAUUAAAAAACAAGGACAAUUAAAUUAUUAUCAUCUAGUUUGAAUCAUCACUUGGAUAUAAGCAGUUCAUUAAAUACUGAAAUAAAUUUGUUCCUUGAAGAUGUGAAUUAUUCACAUGAUUGUUAACUUUGUAUAGUUUAUGAUGCAUAUGAUACAUAUAUUUUUUAUAGUAUUGAUAACGUCCAUUUUCCCAGAAUGUAGUGAAUAAAUAUUGAAUUUAUUUUCCUUUUUGAUCUUUUUCAGAAGCCAUAUUUUGUUUAUGGAGAGUGGAAAUCCUCAAUGGGUCUACCCGUAUCU